UCUGUCUGUCUGUCUGUCUGUCUGUCUGUCUGUCUCUGUCUGUCUGUCUGUCUGUCUGACUUUGGAGGUCUGUCUGGCUGACUUUGGAAGUCUGUCUGUCUGUCUGUCUGUCUGUCUGUCUGUCUGUCUGUCUGUCUGUCUGUCUGUCUGUCUGUCUGACUUUGGAGGUCUGUCUGGCUGACUUUGGAAGUCUGUCUGUCUGUCUGUCUGUCUGUCUGUCUGUCUGUCUGUCUGUCUGUCUGACUUUGGAGGUCUGUCUGGCUGACUUUGGAAGUCUGUCUGUCUGUCUGUCUGUCUGUCUGUCUGUCUGUCUGUCUGUCUGUCUGUCUGUC
ensembl:lncRNA